rnacentral:rRNA from 1 species
UACGUAGGGAGCAAGCGUUGUCCGGAAUCAUUGGGCGUAAAGCGCGCGUAGGUGGCUCCAUAAGUCCGUUGUGAAAGUCAAAGGCUCAACCUUUGAAAGCCGAUGGAUACUGUGGAGCUAGAGUACGGAAGAGGCGAGUGGAAUUCCUGGUGUAGCGGUGGAAUGCGUAGAUAUCAGGAGGAACACCGGCGGUGUAGACGGCUAUCUGGACAGUAACUGACGCUGAGACACGAAAGCGUGGGGAGCGAACAGG